GGUGAGGAAUUAGUGAUGAGUUAUUGUGGAUUGUUGUUGAUGUUUGCAUGCUAGGUGAUUUAGCGUGCAUAGCAUAGCCCUUGGGGUGGUAGCUAAUUCCCAUGGUGAGGAAUUAGUGAUGUGAGUCACUAGGUCUCAAAUGAGUGGGACUAGUGAGCUUGGUAGCCGUACCUGGAUUUGGUCGGUGAGGUUGAACUAUAUGUUCACGAAUAGUCGGUACCGCAUGCAUGGAGUCUCAUUGCAUAACGUAUGUAUGUAUGGCGUAUAAUAUG
rnacentral:lncRNA from 1 species